UACGUAGGGGGCAAGUGUUAUCCGGAUUUACUGGGUGUAAAGGGAGCGUAGACGGCAAGGCAAGUCUGAUGUGAAAACCCAGGGCUUAACCCUGGGACUGCAUUGGAAACUGUCUGGCUCGAGUGCCGGAGAGGUAAGCGGAAUUCCUAGUGUAGCGGUGAAAUGCGUAGAUAUUAGGAAGAACACCAGUGGCGAAGGCGGCUUACUGGACGGUAACUGACGUUGAGGCUCGAAAGCGUGGGGAGCAAACAGG
rnacentral:rRNA from 1 species